AGCUACAGGCUUAACACAUGCAAGUCGAGGGGCAGCAUGGUCUUAGCUUGCUAAGGCCGAUGGCGACCGGCGCACGGGUGAGUAACACGUAUCCAACCUGCCGUCUACUCUUGGACAGCCUUCUGAAAGGAAGAUUAAUACAAGAUGGCAUCAUGAGUCCGCAUGUUCACAUGAUUAAAGGUAUUCCGGUAGACGAUGGGGAUGCGUUCCAUUAGAUAGUAGGCGGGGUAACGGCCCACCUAGUCUUCGAUGGAUAGGGGUUCUGAGAGGAAGGUCCCCCACAUUGGAACUGAGACACGGUCCAAACUCCUACGGGAGGCAGCAGUGAGGAAUAUUGGUCAAUGGGCGAGAGCCUGAACCAGCCAAGUAGCGUGAAGGAUGACUGCCCUAUGGGUUGUAAACUUCUUUUAUAAAGGAAUAAAGUCGGGUAUGGAUACCCGUUUGCAUGUACUUUAUGAAUAAGGAUCGGCUAACUCCGUGCCAGCAGCCGCGGUAAUACGGAGGAUCCGAGCGUUAUCCGGAUUUAUUGGGUUUAAAGGGAGCGUAGAUGGAUGUUUAAGUCAGUUGUGAAAGUUUGCGGCUCAACCGUAAAAUUGCAGUUGAUACUGGAUAUCUUGAGUGCAGUUGAGGCAGGCGGAAUUCGUGGUGUAGCGGUGAAAUGCUUAGAUAUCACGAAGAACUCCGAUUGCGAAGGCAGCCUGCUAAGCUGCAACUGACAUUGAGGCUCGAAAGUGUGGGUAUCAAACAGGGAUUAGAUACCCUGGUAGUCCACACGGUAAACGAUGAAUACUCGCUGUUUGCGAUAUACUGCAAGCGGCCAAGCGAAAGCGUUAAGUAUUCCACCUGGGGAGUACGCCGGCAACGGUGAAACUCAAAGGAAUUGACGGGGGCCCGCACAAGCGGAGGAACAUGUGGUUUAAUUCGAUGAUACGCGAGGAACCUUACCCGGGCUUAAAUUGCAGAUGAAUUACGGUGAAAGCCGUAAGCCGCAAGGCAUCUGUGAAGGUGCUGCAUGGUUGUCGUCAGCUCGUGCCGUGAGGUGUCGGCUUAAGUGCCAUAACGAGCGCAACCCUUGUUGUCAGUUACUAACAGGUUCCGCUGAGGACUCUGACAAGACUGCCAUCGUAAGAUGUGAGGAAGGUGGGGAUGACGUCAAAUCAGCACGGCCCUUACGUCCGGGGCUACACACGUGUUACAAUGGGGGGUACAGAGGGCCGCUACCACGCGAGUGGAUGCCAAUCCCCAAAACCUCUCUCAGUUCGGACUGGAGUCUGCAACCCGACUCCACGAAGCUGGAUUCGCUAGUAAUCGCGCAUCAGCCACGGCGCGGUGAAUACGUUCCCGGGCCUUGUACACACCG
rnacentral:rRNA from 1 species